rnacentral:rRNA from 1 species
CCUCCUCGCCGGAAGACCAAGGGUUCCUGUCCAACGUUAAUCGGGGCAGGGUAAGUCGACCCCUAAGGCGAGGCCGAAAGGCGUAGUCGAUGGGAAACGGGUUAAUAUUCCCGUACUUCUUACAAUUGCGAUGGGGGGACGGAGAAGGCUAGGUGGGCCUGGCGACGGUUGUCCAGGUUCAAGUGCGUAGGCUUAAGAGUUAGGUAAAUCCGGCUCUUUUUAAGGCUGAGACACGACGUCGAGCACCUACGGGUGUGAAGUCAUUGAUGCCAUGCUUCCAGGAAAAGCCUCUAAGCUUCAGAUUGUAAGGAAUCGUACCCCAAACCGACACAGGUGGUCGGGUAGAGAAUACCAAGGCGCUUGAGAGAACUCGGGUGAAGGAACUAGGCAAAAUGGUACCGUAACUUCGGGAGAAGGUACGCUCUUGAUGGUGAAGUCCCUCGCGGAUGGAGCUGACGAGAGUCGCAGAUACCAGGUGGCUGCAACUGUUUAUUAAAAACACAGCACUGUGCAAAAUCGUAAGAUGACGUAUACGGUGUGACGCCUGCCCGGUGCCGGAAGGUUAAUUGAUGGGGUUAGACUUCGGUCGAAGCUCUUGAUCGAAGCCCCGGUAAACGGCGGCCGUAACUAUAACGGUCCUAAGGUAGCGAAAUUCCUUGUCGGGUAAGUU